AAUAACUGAAAACAGAAAAAAUCCAUUGAUAUUGGCACCACUUUUAAGCUAAGGAAGUUGAAAUAAAUGGAAGACUCCAUUUUAGAUAACAAUUCGUCUUCACUUUGCUUUUGAAUUUCUCUUUCACUGUAAAUAUAAGCACUCUCUGUCUCAUCAACACAUCCAAUUCCAAACCAAACCCCUUGGAAAAUGACUUAGAAUCCGUGAUUCUUCUCUGUCUCUUCCCCUAGUAAACAUUUUUGUUUUUCAAGCAUAUAUCAACCUUUUUUUUUUAAUUUACUUUGCUUGGAAAAAUGGUCUCUUACCUUUCACGAGAUGGGUUUUUGAGCGUUGUUUCAAAUGCUUGGACUGUUGCUCUGUUUGGUUUUGUGUAUAAAUAAAGGGAAUGGGGAGUCACAUGUUGCUCUAUGCUUUAAACUAUUGCUAGUAUAGUUCUUUUCUUCAAUCCUUUUUGCUUGAAGUUCGUGUCUUUGUUGCCUUUUUGGACACUAGCUCCUGUCUGAAUUCUUUUUAGCUUUCUGGUUCUUUGUUAACAAAGUUAGAAUCUUUUUUUAUUCUCAUGUUUUUUUAAUGAAUAUUGCUUUGUGGGGAAUAUCCCAUUUAAUAAGUUUGUCCUUUCUUGCGUUUGGAUAAUGAUAAUUGGUUUUCCAUAAAUUUUGAGAAUGUCUUUGAUUUCUGUCUGAGUUUUGCUAUCAUCUUUCCUUGAAUUCUACACAAAGAUUUGUAUUUUUUUUCUUUUUUUUUCGAACUUUCAACUGUAAGAAAAAUGAAGGGUUUUGUUCUGUUUCAAGUGUUUGCUAUUUUCUUACUGUAUGGGAGUGUUGUAAGUAAGGAGUGUACGAACAUUCCGACUCAGCUUUCUUCGCAUAGUGUUCGCUAUGAACUGUUGAAAUCACAAAAUGAAACCUGGAAACAAGAGAUGUUUGCUCAUUACCACUUGAUCCCAACUGAUGACUCCGCUUGGUCUAAUUUGUUACCAAGGAAAAUGUUAAGUGAAGAAGAUGAAUUGAGUUGGUCAAUGAUGUAUAAGAAAAUGAAGAAUCCCGAUAGUUUCAAGUUGGCAGGAGAUUUUUUGAGGGAGGUUUCACUGCAUGAUGUUAGGUUGGAUUCGAAUUCCAUUCAAGGGCGAGCGCAGCAGACGAACUUGGAGUAUUUAUUGAUGCUUGAUGUAGAUAAUUUGGUUUGGAGUUUUAGGAAAACUGCAGGUUUGCCAACGCCGGGGAAGCCAUAUGGAGGGUGGGAAGGCCCUGAUAUUGAACUACGGGGUCAUUUUGUCGGGCAUUACAUGAGUGCAACAGCUCAGAUGUGGGCUAGCACUCACAAUGACACUCUCAAAGGAAAGAUGUCGGCAGUUGUGUCAGCCCUAUCAGCCUGUCAGAAGAAAAUGGACACAGGAUAUCUUUCUGCAUUUCCAUCUGAAUUUUUUGAUCGCUUUGAAGCAAUAAAGCCUGUCUGGGCUCCAUACUACACCAUUCACAAGAUCUUGGCAGGUCUCUUGGAUCAAUAUACAUUUGCGACUAAUGCUCAAGCUUUAGAUAUGACAAUAUGGAUGGUUGAAUACUUUUAUAAUCGUGUUCAGAAUGUUAUAACAAAGCACAGUGUGGAGAGACAUUGGCUGUCACUUAAUGAAGAAACCGGUGGUAUGAAUGAUGUCCUCUACAGGUUGUUUACCAUAACGGGAGAUCCAAAGCAUUUGCUGUUGGCUCACCUUUUUGACAAACCCUGUUUUCUAGGAUUGCUUGCAGUUCAGGCUGAUGAUAUAUCAGGCUUCCAUGCCAAUACACACAUUCCUGUUGUUAUUGGAUCUCAAAUGCGGUAUGAAGUGACUGGUGAUCCACUUUACAAGACAAUGGCAACAUUCUUUAUGGACAUUGUGAAUUCUUCUCAUAGCUAUGCAACAGGAGGAACCUCAGUCAGCGAGUUUUGGUCAAAUCCAAAACGAUUGGCAGACACUUUGCAGACAGAGAAUGAAGAAUCCUGCACAACUCAUAACAUGCUGAAGGUCUCUCGCCACCUAUUUAAAUGGACCAAAGAAGUUGCAUAUGCAGAUUACUAUGAGCGUGCACUUACAAAUGGUGUACUAGGCAUCCAAAGGGGAACUGAUCCUGGAGUGAUGAUUUACAUGCUACCACAAGGUCGUGGGGUCUCUAAGGCCGUAAGCCACCAUAAGUGGGGAACACCAUUUGACUCUUUUUGGUGCUGCUAUGGUACAGGAAUUGAAUCAUUUUCCAAGUUAGGAGAUUCUAUAUAUUUUGAAGAGGAAGGAAGCAUUCCUAGUCUUUACAUCAUCCAGUAUGUAUCAAGCACUCUCGAUUGGAAAUCUGGAAAAAUUGUGCUCAACCAGAAAGUUGAUCCUGUUGUUUCUUGGGAUCCUUACCUUCGUGUGACAUUGACUUCCUCUUUGAAAGAGGAAGCAGGGCAAUCAUCUACCUUGAAUUUGAGGGUACCAAUCUGGACGCAGUUGAAAGGUGCCAAGGCAACAUCAAAUGCUCAGAAUCUAGACCUACCAACUCCAGGUAGCUUCUUACCAGUAAAAUGGAGUGCUGGGGAUAAAUUAACCCUUCUGUUGCCAAUUAGUCUGAGAACAGAGCCAAUUAAAGAUGAUCGCCCUGAAUAUGCUUUUGUUCAGGCAAUACUUUAUGGUCCUUACCUGCUUAGUGGUUAUAGCAGUGGUGACUGGGACAUAAAAACUGGUUCAACAGGUUCAGUUGCAGACUGGAUAGCUCCUGUUCCUGCUGCUUAUAACAAUCAUCUUGUUACUCUUUCCCAAGAGUUUGGUGACUCAACUUUUGUGUUAACAAACUCAAACCAAUCAAUCAGAAUGGAGAAGUUCCCUGAAGCUGGUACUGAUGCUGCUGUUCAUGCCACAUUCAGGCUCAUCUUUAAUGACAGUUCAGAAAAAAUUUCAACCAUUCGUGAAGCCAUUGGUAAAAUUGUCAUGCUUGAGCCAUUUGACUUUCCAGGAAUGCUUUUAGCACAUCAAGGAAAAGAAAAUAACCUUGCGGUGACUGAUUCUCCUAAUUACGAGGCAACUUCUAGUUUUCGUUUAGUUGCUGGAUUGGAUGGAAUGGAUGAUAGCGUGUCCUUGGAAUCGGUAAGCCAAAAAGGGUGCUAUAUAUAUAGUGGUAUAAACUAUAGUUCUAGUGUUAGCACGAAGCUCAGCUGCAAUUCAGCAUCAUCCGAGGCUGGAUUCAAUCAGGCAAUUAGCUUUGUAAUGAAAAAUGGACUAAGUGAAUACCAUCCCAUCAGCUUUGUUGCAACAGGGGCAAGGAGGAAUUUCCUUAUGGUACCAUUGCAGAGCUUCAGAGAUGAAUCUUACACCAUUUAUUUCAACAUUCAACCAUAAUGUAUUCAGGUAUAGGAAGGAACAGGACGUCAGUACUCCUAUCAGACAAUAAAAUUCAUCUUUUCAUUGCCUCGGUGUUGGUGGCACUCGCCGCAUCAAGCCAAGCAAUUCUGAGAGCCAUUGCAUUAAAACUGCGAGCCUCCCUUUAUAAUAUCUUCAAACCGCUCCAGUUCUGCCCAAAGAACCUCAUGCUUAAAUCUCAUUGGAGCAUUUUUGUGCCUGGUACUCUGAACCCAACAGUAUUGGUGAGUAAACAGAUCCUAUAACUGACAAAUGGAAGACGGAGUUUUAGGAAAACCUUCCUCCUACUCGAGAUUAAUUAAAGCUCUGUCCAACCUCUCCUUCCAUUUUGAAUUGAAAAAAAUUUAGGUCAUUUUUUAGUUUAGGUUGUUUCGGAUUAAGUUUAUCUUGUGUUUGAAUUAUUUUGAAUCUGAGU